GAUGAACGCUGGCGGCGUGCUUAACACAUGCAAGUCGAACGAUGAAGCCCAGCUUGUUGGGUGGAUUAGUGGCGAACGGGUGAGUAACACGUGAGUAACCUGCCCUUAACUCUGGGAUAAGCAUGUGCAACUGGGUCUAAUACCUGACAGGUGCGUCCACCGACUGGAGGGUGUUGGAGAGAUUUAUCGGUUUUGGAUGGACUCGCGGCCUAUCCGCUUGUUAGUGAAGUAAUGGCACACGAACGCGAAGACAGGUAGCCGACCUGAGAGGGUGACCGGCCACACUGGGACUGAGGGACGGCCCAGUAUGGUACGGGAGGCAGCGGUGGAGAAUAUUGCGGAGUAGGCGCAAGCCAGAUGCAGCGGCGCCGCGUGCGGGAUGACGGCCUUUGAGUUGUGAACCUCUUUCAGUAUGGAUGAAGCGAACGUGACGGUACCUGCAGAAAAAGCACCGGCUAACUACGUG
rnacentral:rRNA from 1 species